UACGGAGGGAGCUGCGUUGUUCGGAAUUACUGGGGGUAAAGCGCGCGUAGGCGGCUUUGUAAGUUAGAGGUGAAAGCCCGGAGCUCAACUCCGGAACUGCCUUUAAAACUGCAUCGCUUGAAUCCAGGAGAGGUGAGUGGAAUUCCGAGUGUAGAGGUGAAAUUCGUAGAUAUUCGGAAGAACACCAGUGGCGAAGGCGGCUCACCGGACUGGUAUUGACGCUGAGGUGCGAAAGCGUGGGGAGCAAACAGG
rnacentral:rRNA from 1 species